CACGUAGGGCGCAAGCGUUGUCCGGAUUUAUUGGGCGUAAAGAGCUCGUAGGUGGUUCGGUAAGUCGGAUGUGAAAUCUCCAGGCUCAACCUGGAGGGGUCAUUCGAUACUGCCGUGACUAGAGGUCGGUAGGGGAGUGUGGAAUUCCUGGUGGAGCGGUGAAAUGCGCAGAUAUCAGGAGGAACACCCGUAGCGAAGGCGGCACUCUGGGCCGAUACUGACGCUGAUGCACGAAAGCUAGGGGAGCAAACAGG
rnacentral:rRNA from 1 species